GACGAACGCUGGCGGCGUGCUUAACACAUGCAAGUCGAGCGGUAAGGCCCUUUCGGGGGUACACGAGCGGCGAACGGGUGAGUAACACGUGGGUGACCUGCCCUCAGCUCUGGGAUAAGCCUGGGAAACCGGGUCUAAUACUGGAUAUGACUCCAUGACGCAUGUUGUGGGGUGGAAAGCCUUGUGCGGCUGAGGAUGGGCCCGCGGCCUAUCAGCUUGUUGGUGGGGUGAGGCCUACCAAGGCGACGACGGGUAGCCGGCCUGAGAGGGCGACCGGCCACGCUGGGACUGAGACACGGCCCAGACUCCUACGGGAGGCAGCAGUGGGGAAUCUUGCGCAAUGGGCGAAAGCCUGACGCAGCGACGCCGCGUGAGGGAUGACGGCCUGGUGUAACU
rnacentral:rRNA from 1 species